rnacentral:tRNA from 2 species
GGCUGGAUAGCUCAGUUGGUAGAGCAAAGGACUGAAAAUCCUUGUGUCCCUGGUUCGAUUCCUGGUCCAGCCACCA